AUUGAACGCUGGCGGCAUGCUUUACACAUGCAAGUCGAACGGCAGCGCGGGCUUCGGCCUGGCGGCGAGUGGCGAACGGGUGAGUAAUUCAUCGGAACGUGCCCAGCCGUUGGGGAUAGCCCGGCGAAAGCCGGCUUAAUACCGCAUACGACCUGAGGGUGAAAGCGGGGGACCGAAAGGCCUCGCGCUAUUUGAGCGGCCGAUGUCGGAUUAGCUAGUUGGUUGGGUAAAGGCUUACCAAGGCGACGAUCCGUAGCUGGUCUGAGAGGACGACCAGCCACACUGGGACUGAGACACGGCCCAGACUCCUACGGGAGGCAGCAGUGGGGAAUUUUGGACAAUGGGGGCAACCCUGAUCCAGCCAUGCCGCGUGCGGGAAGAAGGCCUUCGGGUUGUAAACCGCUUUUGUUCGGGAAGAAAACCUCUGGGCUAAUACCCCGGGGGGAUGACGGUACCGGAAGAAUAAGCACCGGCUAACUACGUG
rnacentral:rRNA from 1 species